CUUGUAGGCGGUUUGUCACGUCGGAAGUGAAAACUCAGGGCUUAACCCUGAGCCUGCUUCCGAUACGGGCAAACUAGAGGGAUGCAGGGGAGAAUGGAAUUCCUGGUGGAGCGGUGGAAUGCGCAGAUAUCAGGAGGAACACCGGUGGCGAAGGCGGUUCUCUGGGCAUUUCCUGACGCUGAGAAGCGAAAGCGUGGGGAGCAAACAGGCUUAGAUACCCUGGUAGUCCACGCCGUAAACGGUGGGCACUAGGUGUGGGGAACAUUCCACGUUCUCCGUGCCGAAGCUAACGCAUUAAGUGCCCCGCCUGGGGAGUACGGCCGCAAGGCUAAA
rnacentral:rRNA from 1 species